AAACUGCAAGACCAUUCAAGUUGUCCCUACCCUUUAGUGCCAAGAAAUGGACAAGAUCCUGGGAGCAUUUUUAAUUCUAUGGCUUCAACUAGGCUGUGUGAGUGGCCAACAGAAGGGAAAAAGUGACCAGCAGCAGGUGAAACAGAGCCCUGAAUCUUUGGUAUUACAAGAAAAAGAGAUUUCAAUUCUGGACUGUACUUAUGAGAACAAUGCAUUUGACUACUUCUCAUGGUAUCGGCAGUAUCCUGGUAAAGGCCCUGAAUUACUGAUAGCCAUACGUUCAGUUGAUAAUAGAAAGGAAGAUGGGAGAUUUACAGUUUUGUUGAGCAAAAGUGCCAAACACUUCUCACUGCGCAUCAACGAUUCCCAGCCUGGAGACUCAGCCACGUACUUCUGCGCAGCAAGUGCACAAUGCUCUCUAGGCACCUGCAGCCUGUACUCAAACCUGCAGCUGGGAGUUCCAGCCAAACCCUGCUAUGCAGAUGAAAUAUUCACACAUAAACAACAAAAAAAUCUUAUCAAAGAACUGGCUCUGUUUUAG